UUAUUCAAAUGAUGAUACAAAUUUUACCAAACAGUUAUCCCUGUCAGACAUGGUAACAAUUCAGUGGUGAAAAAACUAAUGUAUCUGAUGAACUU
rnacentral:snoRNA from 1 species